GCCUCGGUGGUGUAGUGGUAUAAAGCGCGCGUCCCUGGAUCGGAUGAAAACGCAGGUUCGAAUCCCGCUUGACGCC